rnacentral:rRNA from 1 species
GGGGAAUAUUGGACAAUGGGGGCAACCCUGAUCCAGCCAUGCCGCGUGAGUGAUGAAGGCCCUAGGGUUGUAAAGCUCUUUCGGCGGGGACGAUAAUGACGGUACCCGCAGAAGAAGCCCCGGCUAACUUCGUGCCAGCAGCCGCGGUAAUACGAAGGGGGCUAGCGUUGCUCGGAAUCACUGGGCGUAAAGCGCACGUAGGCGGAUCUUUAAGUCAGGGGUGAAAUCCCGAGGCUCAACCUCGGAACUGCCUUUGAUACUGGGGAUCUCGAGUCCGGAAGAGGUUGGUGGAACUCCGAGUGUAGAGGUGAAAUUCGUAGAUAUUCGGAAGAACACCAGUGGCGAAGGCGGCCAACUGGUCCGGUACUGACGCUGAGGUGCGAAAGCGUGGGGAGCAAAC